rnacentral:rRNA from 1 species
AUCCUGGCUCAGAUUGAACGCUGGCGGUAUGCAUAACACAUGCAAGGUCGAACGGUAGCAGGUCUAGCUUGCUAGAUGCUGACGAGUGGCGGACGGGUGAGUAACGCGUAGGAAUCUGCCUUAUAGUGGGGGAUAACCUGGGGGAAACUCAAGGCUAAUACCGCAUAAGCCCGAGGGUGAAAGUGUGGGACCUGAAAAGGCCACAUGCUAUAAGAUGAGCCUGCGUAGGAUUAGCUAGUUGGUGGGGUAAAGGCUUACCAAGGCAAAGAUCCUUAACUGGUCUGAGAGGACGACCAGUCACACUGGGACUGAGACACGGCCCAGACUCCUACGGGAGGCAGCAGUGGGGGAUAUUGGACAAUGGGCGCAAGCCUGAUCCAGCAAUACCGCGUGUGUGAAGAAGGCCUUCGGGUUGUAAAGCACUUUCAGGAGGGAAGAAGUUUUAUGCAGUAAUACUGUGUAGGAUUGACGUUACCUUCAGAAGAAGCACCGGCUAACUCUGUG